GUCAAGAUGGCCGAGUUGGUCUAAGGCGCCAGUUUGGCAUGGGUUCGAAUCCCAUUCUUGACAUGAUUAAUUUUUUUUAUAGAACUUCAUUGGCAUGGCAUGGAUUUGAAUCCAUUCUAGACAUGUUUAGAAUCCUAUUCUUGACAUGAUUAUUUUUUUUAUACAAUUUCAUUGGCAUGGGUUCGAAUCCCAUUCUUGACA
rnacentral:tRNA from 1 species